AGCAUUUACCCAAAUGAUCACAAACAAGGCCAUACUAAAGCUACCUGCAUAACUAUGCUUAUCAUAGCAUUAAUCACCAUAGCUACGAUAUAGAACCAACCCAGAUGACCCUCAGUAGAUGAAUGAAUCAAGAAAAUGUGUUAAACACACACACACACACACACACAC